rnacentral:rRNA from 1 species
GACGAACGCUGGCGGCGUGCUUAACACAUGCAAGUCGAACGAGUGGCGAACGGGUGAGUAACACGUGGGUGACCUGCCCUGCACUUCGGGAUAAUCCUGGGACAAUGGGUCUGAUACCGGAUAGUGUGGCAUGGGCCCGCGGCCUAUCAGCUUGUUGGUGGGGUAAUGGCUACCACGGCGCGACGGGUAGCCGGCCUGAGAGGGUGGACGGCCACAUUGGGACUGAGACACGGCCCAGACUCCUACGGGAGGCAGCAGUGGGGAAUAUUGGACAAUGGGCUAAAGCCUGAUCCAGCCAUGCCGCGUGUAUGAAGAAGGUCUUCGGAUUGUAAAGAACUUUAAGUUGGGAGGCGUUACCAGCAGAAGAAGCACCGGCUAACUUCGUGCCAGCCGCCGCGGUAAUUC